GGGAUUGUUGAAGAGCACCUGAGCCCCGGGGCACAGAGGCCCUCACGUGGUCGGCAUUAUUCACCAGCCAGCACCUUUCAAGGGGACGUGUCCCAGGACAGCGCCAUGCAAAGAUGGAAUGAACUGCCAGAGGAAGGAAUGAGCUCUCUGUCCCUGGAGAUUGAGCUCCAAGAGGGUGGGCCCUUGUCUGUCUCAUUCACUGCUCUAUCUGUCGUAUCUAGUGGGUAUAUGAGAUACAAUGCAAUCUUUUUUUUUUAAUUUUUGUAUUCUUUGACGAGAGGGAGGGAAAGGGA